GCCGAGGGUACUCCCGGGGUAGGGGCGAAAUCCGAUAAUCCCGGGAGGACCACCAGUGGCGAAGGCGCUCGGCUGGAACGCGCCCGACGGUGAGGGGCGAAAGCUGGGGGAGCAAAGGGGAUUAGAUACCCCUGUAGUCCCAGCUGUAAACGAUGCGGGCUAGCUGUUGGGCGGGCUUCAGAGCCCGCCCAGGGCGGAGGGAAGCCGUUAAGCCCGCCGCCUGGGGAGUACGGCCGCAAGGCUGAAACUUAAAGGAAUAGGCGGGGGAGCACCACAAGGGGUGGAACCUGCGGCUCAAUUGGAGUCAACACCUGGAAGCUUACCGGGGGAGACCGCAGGAUGACGGCCAGGCUAACGACCUUGCCUGACUCGCGGAGAGGAGGUGCAUGGCCGUCGCCAGUUCGUGUUGUGAAAUGUCCGGUUAAGUCCGGCAACGAGCGAGACCC
rnacentral:rRNA from 1 species